AAAGCGCCCGAUCUCGUCUGAUCUCGGAAGCAAAA
ensembl:rRNA 5S_rRNA 5S ribosomal RNA